ensembl:lncRNA
GGUUAGAGCAGGUAGCCUAGUGGUUAGUGGUUAGAGCAGGUAGCCUAGUGGUUAGUGGUUAGAGCAGGUAGCCUAGUGGUUAGUGGUUAGAGCAGGUAGCCUAGUGGUUAGAGCAGGUAGCCUAGUGGUUAGUGGUUAGAGCAGGUAGCCUAGUGGUUAGAGCAGGUAGCCUAGUGGUUAGAGCAGGUAGCCUAGUGGUUAGAGCAGGUAGCCUAGUGGUUAGAGCAGGUAGCCUAGUGGUUAGAGCAGGUAGCCUAGUGAUUAGAGCAGGUAGCCUAGUGGUUAGAGAAGGUAGCCUAGUGAUUAGAGCAGGUAGCCUAGUGGUUAGAGAAGGUAGCCUAGUGGUUAGAGCAGGUAGCCUAGUGGUUAGAGAAGGUAGCCUAGUGGUUAGAGCAGGUAGCCUAGUGGUUAGAGAAGGUAGCCUAGUGGUUAGAGAAGGUAGCCUAGUGAUUAGAGCAGGUAGCCUAGUGGUUAGAGAAGGUAGCCUAGUGGUUAGAGCAGGUAGCCUAGUGGUUAGAGAAGGUAGCCUAGUGGUUAGAGCAGGUAGCCUAGUGGUUAGAGAAGGUAGCCUAGUGGUUAGAGCAGGUAGCCUAGUGGUUAGAGCAGGUAGCCUAGUGGUUAGAGCAGGUAGCCUAGUGGUUAGAGCCAGGUAGCCUAGUGGUUAGAGCCAGUUAGCCUAGUGGUUAGAUCUAGGUAGCCUAGUGGUUAGAGCAGGUAGCCUAGUGGUUAGAGCAGGUAGCCUAGUGGUUAGAGGCAGGUAGCCUAGUGGUUAGAGCCAGGUAGCCUAGUGGUUAGAGCAGGUAGCCUAGUGGUUAGAGCAGGUAGCCUAGUGGUUAGAGGCAGGUAGCCUAGUGGUUAGAGCAGGUAGCCUAGUGGUUAGAGCCAGGUAGCCUAGUGGUUAGAGCCAGGUAGCCUAGUGGUUAGAGCCAGGUAGCCUAGUGGUUCGAGCAGGUAGCCUAGUGUUUCGAACAGGUAGACUAGUGGUUCGAGCAGGUAGCCUAGUGGUUAGAGAAGGUAGCCUAGUUUUUAGAGCAGGUAGCCUAGUGGUUAGAGCAGGUAGCCUAGUGGUUAGAGCAGGUAGCCUAGUGGUUAGAG